GUCCAAAGAGCAAUAAAUGGCACAUGCCUGUCACCUCUUUGACCAAUGAUAAUAUAGCCACUAUAAUUAUAGACAAUGUUCAAAUUCUUGGCCAGUAGCAAGAUUGAAAUUGUUCAUUUUCUUAACAAAGAAUGACAUUACUAUGAUUAAUGAAAUUUUCUUAACAGAAAAUGAAAUUAAUAUGAAAUCCAAAUAAUGAUUGCAUAAGUGACUAGCUAAUUAUAGGUGAAAAGCAAGGAUCAAUGGUGACAAUGUCUCAAAUUUGUUAUCAUCUUCUCUGCUCUGUACUCAUCAGAAUGGAUGUCCUUGUUCAUAUUUGAGGAUCAGAACAUCCUCCAAGGUCAUGUACUCUGUUUGCACCCUGCUUAGGAAGGAGCAUGCAGACCAAUGUGAGUAAUGGUCAAAGUCCUUACUUUGGUUUCGGUGGUUUGUUUAAGACUACUCAAUGUAUUAUUUAAAAGUGUGAAAUACACUUGAAGAUGGCCAAUGCUAUCCCAAUUAUAUGGGAGUGACAUGAAAUAUUAUAUUGAUGAUGCGUAUAUAUAAAACAGGAUAAUGAAACACACCUAAUGUUUCAGCGAUUCUACAUACUGAUAUGGAAUAUCAGAAGUGUUAUUGGAUUUUGUGAAUCAUGAGCCUUGAAAGUUACUAAUGAAUAAAUGACUUAAUCAAUAGACAAGGUAGAAAUGAACAGCAAAAUAGAGAUCAGCCCUGAUCAAUGAUGACUACUUGGUGGCGUAUGAGCCAGAUACAACAAAUACGUGUCUGAAACUCCGAGGUCCAUCACAAAUGAAAUCUGGCCCAUUCCUUCUGAUUCAAAUGAUCCUGUGAAUACACAAUAUGUUUGCUUUUGGUCUUUGGGUUUGUUCACUUCAUUCUAUUAUUACAAUUGGAUAAAUGAAAUAAUUUUUACGUAUACAUGCACGUAUAUGAAGGGGAUGAAGUAUUGUCCAAUGAUAAAAUAAGUGGUGAGGCAAGAUGUGUUAUUAUUAUAUUAAAGCUUUUAUAUAUUAAAUAGAAAGUAAUAUUAAUUAAUAUAUAAUAUUUAAUGUAAUAUUUAACAUGUUAAAUAUAAUAAUAUGUUAAAAUAUUAUAUUAAAGCAUUGACGUCUCAAGAGAAAUAAACGUUACACCACUGUAACUUGUUUGACCAAGGAUGAUACAUUUGGUAUUUAUACAUAAAAGUCAACAUCUGGGUCAAGGAAAGUUGCAAGGUAUUCAUUUUCUUAAGAGAAAAUAAAAUAAGUAUCCUUCAAAUAAUGAUUUCUCAAAUGUUUUCCUCAAGGGAAGAUGACAAACACAGAUCAAGGAGGACUGUCUCAUCUGUUUGUGCUCUGCUCUGCGAGCUUCGGGAUGGAUGUUUGCCCGCUGAUCCCAUGGUUACAAGCUCUGUGGCUGCAUCUAUGCGUUCGGAGCAUGAAGACCAAUAAUGGAUGCACUGAGCUGAUUAUGAAUUUAGCCCUGAUCAAGACCUGUGUUGUUGUCCUUACAUGAAAGAUUUCAAUGUGAGUAAUAGUCAAGUUCUUGUGUGGUUUGGGUGGUUUGUUUAAGGGUAUUUACUGUGUUAUUGAAAAUAAAAAAAAUAAUCAACUAAUAUAUAUACAUGUGUGUGUUUGCAUAUAUAAUGAAUAUCAAUAUAUACUUCAAUUAGUGAACCAUGAAUUUUUAUAACGAUUCCACAUGAAUUACUGAAUUAAGCAGCAAAUACUGUAGAUUUGGAUGAAAAGAAAGUGGGCCCUGCCUGGACCAAUGAUGACGAAUACCGGCGUAUGAGUCUUGGAUGAUGAAUAAUACGUGUCUGGAACUCUGAGGUCCAAUGCAAAAGAAAGCCAGUCCUUUCUGCUCAUGAUUUUCCUUCUAUUAUUGUAAUUGGAUCAAUACAAGAAUCAAUGAACAAAUAUAUAACUAAAUAAAGAUGACUCAUGUGAACCAUUGUCCAAUUAUAAAAAUAGAUGACGUGGCAAGAAAUAGUAUUAUUAUAUGCUGGAAACUCUGCAGUCUAAAGAGAAAUAAAUGGUACAGGAUUGUUAAAUCUUUGGCUAAAUACGAUGUGGACAGUAAUAGAUAAAUAUCUGUAUUCAUUUUCUGGGUCAGUGGCAAGAUUGACGUCGUUAGCCUGCAUAGGAGAAAAAUAAGCAUUAUUACAAAUUACUAAUUGUAUAUGACUAACGGAAAGAGGAGUUGAAGGCCAGUGGAAAGAAUGUUACAACCUUUUAAAAAUCAACUAUUCUGCUCAGUAAUCCUCAGAAUGAACGCACUUGAGUUGAUUCAAGCACUCUGCCAUGGCCAUGAGCUCUGUGGUCGCAUCUGUGUGUCAGGAGCAUGCAGACCAAUAUGGAGCAGCAUAGAUGCACCAAGUGGACUUGGCGCUCUGCUAGGAUGGAAACCUGUAUUGCUGUUGUGUCUGGAAAGCAACUAACGUGGGUAAUAGCCAGAAGUUUUGUCUUCCUUUGGGUACUUGAUUAAAGAGUGCUAAUCUCAAGGUGAUUUAUGCCUUCUUCCAUGGCCACCAGCCCUGUGGUUGUACCUCUGUAUCAGAGCUUAGAGAUCAACAAUAGCUGCUUUUGAGGUGAUUCGAUCUCAUCCCUGCUCACCAGCAUCUUGGCUGCAUCUCUGUGUUAGAGUGUGAAGACCAAUAAUGGAUACAGCGAGCUGUUUCAAGCAUUCUGUUGGGAUCAAAAUUUUUGUGCUGGCUCUGUGUUUGGAAAGACACCAAGAAUGGAUACUAUCAUGGCCACAAGUUCUGUGGUUGCCUCUCUGUAUUAAGAGCACGGAGACUAAAGUGAGUAAUGCCUGAAAUUAUUUUCUUGGUUUCAGUAUUUCUUUUAUCUUAAGAUUAUUCACUAUAUUAUUAAAAAGCAUAAAAUGUAAUGAAUAUGAUUAUAACAGUGAUAAAUAUGGGAUGUCUGAAACAUUGUAUCGAUUAAUGCAUAUAUGAAAAAUAAGAGAAUGAAACUGAUAUGUUGAUAUGAGAAUAAUUCUAUGUACCAAUUUGGGAUAUAAGGACUCUUCUUGAGUUUUUGUGAAUAAUAACAUUAUCAUUUUAUGAUUUAAUGAAUUAAUCAAUAACCAAAUGUAGGUGACAAUAGAGCAGAAGGGCCAGUCCUGGAUCAAUGAUGACUACUGGUGGCGUAUGAGUCAUAGACGAUGAAUACGUGUCUGGAACUCUGAGGUCCCGUGUGAAAGAGAUGUAAUUCAUUUACUCUGGUUGGAUGGCCCUGCAGGCAGUUACCGGGAAUAUACGAGGAUCUUGGUUUUGGUCUUUGUGCUCAUGCCUUUUCAUUCUGUGCAGAGAAUGCCUCAAUUUAAAAAAAAAUCUUUUUACCCUUUUCUCUGAUUUAUAUUUCUCAGAAUGGACCCACUCAAGCUGACUUAAGAAUUCCUCCUUGGUCACAAGAUUUUUCGUUGCAUGUCUGCAUUAGGAGCCUAGAGAACAAUAGUUUUAAAAUUAUAAUUACUAAAUUGAUG